CACCAAAUGUUCUCUUUAUGCUAAUCUCUCCUUUUUUAUUUUCUUAAUUUGUCACAUUUAGCGUGUUUUUUUUUACAGUCGCAGAGACUGCUUCUACGGCCACAAAAUUACACUAUUACGGCAAGAAAUUUAACGCCGUUGAGUCGCUGCGAUUCAGACGACAAGUAAAAACAGUUUUUAAAGUUGACGCUGAAAUUUCCAGCGAUUACGGAAUUACUGUUUCUUUUUCUUUUUCUGAUCGCUGCGGCAACUGCGGCACUUUAUUUUUCCCAAAUACACAUCAUCUCAGGCUUUUUAUUUGUGCCGCAGUUCUUGCAGCUGCGACUGUUAAACGAACAUGCUAAUUAUCUUAACU
rnacentral:sRNA from 1 species